rnacentral:rRNA from 1 species
ACUCCUGCGGGAGGCAGCAGUGGGGAAUAUUGGACAAUGGGCGCAAGCCUGAUCCAGCCAUGCCGCGUGAGUGAUGAAGGCCCUAGGGUUGUAAAGCUCUUUCACCGGUGAAGAUAAUGACGAUAACCGGAGAAGAAGCCCCGGCUAACUUCGUGCCAGCAGCCGCGGUAAUACGAAGGGGGCUAGCGUUGUUCGGAUUUACUGGGCGUAAAGCGCACGUAGGCGGACUAUUAAGUCAGGGGUGAAAUCCCGGGGCUCAACCCCGGAACUGCCUUUGAUACUGGUAGUCUUGAGUUCGAGAGAGGUGAGUGGAAUUCCGAGUGUAGAGGUGAAAUUCGUAGAUAUUCGGAGGAACACCAGUGGCGAAGGCGGCUCACUGGCUCGAUACUGACGCUGAGGUGCGAAAGCGUGGGGAGCAAACAGGAUUAGAAACCCGUGUAGUCCCAUGA